CCUACGGGAGGCAGCAGUAAGGAAUAUUGGGCAAUGGACGGAAGUCUGACCCAGCCAUGCCGCGUGGAGGAUGAAGGUCCUCUGGAUUGUAAACUUCUUUUCUCUGGGGCGAAAAAAGCCUUUUCUAAGGCGCUUGACAGUACCAGAGGAAUAAGCACCGGCUAACUCCGUGCCAGCAGCCGCGGUAAUACGGAGGGUGCAAGCGUUAUCCGGAUUCACUGGGUUUAAAGGGUGCGUAGGUGGGCUUGUAAGUCAGUGGUGAAAUCCCCGAGCUUAACUUGGGAACUGCCGUUGAUACUAUAAGUCUUGAAUAUCGUGGAGGUAAGCGGAAUAUGUCAUGUAGCGGUGAAAUGCUUAGAUAUGACAUAGAACACCAAUUGCGAAGGCAGCUUGCUACACGAUCAUUGACACUGAGGCACGAAAGCGUGGGGAUCAAACAGGAUUAGAUACCCUGGUAGUCCACGCCCUAAACUAUGGGUACUCGACAUCAGCGAUACACUGUUGGUUGUCUGAGCGAAGACGAUUAAGUAGUACCGACCGUACGGUAAGGUACGUAGUUCGCGAAGAGUUAGUAAACGUUAAAGUUAGUUAGUUAGUUACGGCGUUGAGACGUUGCCGACGGACGACGACGAGGGAGGAGG
rnacentral:rRNA from 1 species